rnacentral:lncRNA from 1 species
GGAGUCCGCAGUGUUGCGCCUCCGCGGGUCGCCGCGCAUUGGGGCCGCGAUUGCUGUGCAGCGUCGGAAGCCGGCGGCCUCAGGUAGGAGCUGCGGCACGGGAUAAGCCCGGUCGGCCGCGCAUGACCUCUCCUUGCCGGAUCCGGCCGCGCCUACCCCUCCACUGCUGCCUCACAGGCGGGCGGGCGCGGAUCGCGGCCUGGGCGGCGCAGGCCUGAGGGGCCGCAGACCGGGGCGCAAGAACCUGAACGGUGCCCCGUGACUCGGCUUCCCAGUAGGCGGCGAGCGUGGUACUGCAACAGGGGUGCGGCGACUUGGAGAAGCUUCGUGGAAGGGAAGCAGAGACAGGUGGUUGAGGGGCAAGGACCGGCGCAGUGCAUUCGAGACGUAGAAGCUUGCUCCUUCUAGCUCUUCAGAGGAUCGGAGGAGAAGAUCUUGCUUUGUAGCCCUGGCUUGCUUGGAACCUACUACAUAGACUAGAUUGGCUAUCUAGUGCUGAAAUCAUAGGGAGGAGACUGGGGAGAUGGAUUUGAAGAGGAUUGAACAAAUUGGAAGAAAAUAUUUGUCCUCUGCUUUGGUGUCAGAAAAGGGAAUUUUCCAAUCUGCCACACCUCAGUGUUGCGGCAAAAAUAAUUCUUGGCUCCCCUGGAAACUAUCGGGCAAGGUAGGGCAGAACUGCUGCUGCUGUCGCCAUUACCCUGGGCUUCCUAUUGAAUGGGCUGCUCCCAAGUGAACAGAUCUGCGUUGAUGCUCUGGUCGUCCAAAAGUCCUCAAAUCAGCUCUGAGCUGAGCCCACUAUUGGAAGAAUCUGCCUUUUGGAAGUUGACGCUACCUUGUGCUUGGGAAGAUUUGGCUCAAGCACUCUUUCCCUGCCUGGAGACUUAUUGGGGAUGUAAAAUGAGAGAAUAGCAGGUGACCAGCAAAUUAGGGGAGGAUUAAAUACUUCCAAGUUGUCACAGCAAGAAGAAAGAGGAAUAUCUCAGGAGUUUGACCUCAAGCCUACAAAGUGGUGGUAUUCUACCAAGA